rnacentral:tRNA from 1 species
AUUUAAAUAGCUUAGUUAAAAGUAUAAUAUUGAAGAUAUUAAGAAAAUUAAAAUUAAUUUUUAAAUA